rnacentral:lncRNA from 1 species
CUCUUUUUAAAAGGUCGAAGGUCAAAUUUAACUAAAUAAUAAUAAUAAAGGCCAAAUUGGUGAAAUAUGCAAACGUUAUGGGUCAAUUUGUCAUUAUGCUUUUUUUUUAAAAUUUCUUUCUACUCAUGCUCAUAUUAUUUUGUUGUUAUGUUGUAAUUUAAAUUGGAUUUAACUUGUAAAAUCAUUGUUUUUUUAUACAAAUGUUUAGAAUUAUUCAUAACCUCUCUCCAUUGUUGUAAAACUAUUGUUAAAUACUCAAUUCAAAAGACCAGCUUUUAUUUAGAAGUGUUGAUUGUUCGACUACCUAACUUAUAUAUGAUAUCAAUGUCAUACAUAUUUGUUUAAGUCUGAUUUAACUUGAAAUACGAGUCAUGAAUUUUAUCUAAACAUGUUCAUAUUUCAAAUGACUAAUCUAAACUAGUUUAAGUUAACCUAUGUUUUCUUUCUCAAAAUAUAAUUAUAUAAUUUAAUAUUUAAUAAUUAUAUAUAUAUCCUUUAUUACCAUUAUAUUUUCUCUUUAAUUAAAUUUUAAGCAUAAAUAACUUAUAUAUUUUUUAAUAUUUACGUUAUCUACAAUAUAUUUUAUUUUCAUAUUUAUGAAUUACAACAUAUGUAAAAGAAAAUUACAAAUAUUAUAAACUUGAAAAUAAGUUAUCGAAUUAUUUUUUUUAUCAAAACUAAUUUUUUAAGACUAAUCUUUUUUAUCAAAAACUUUCACAAAUCUCUCCAAAUUUCGAAUAAUCUUUUAGGAAAAAGAUCUAAUUGUAUAAUUUUUAAUUGAGGGCUGAGUUAGAACCUUUCAUUCAAAUGACUAAACAGUAGUUUAGAUCCCAUCAUAUCUAGAGUAGAUUUUGGUGGACCAACUUGUAAUUUUUUAUUUUUCUUAGAAAGCAAAAUUAAUGUGUAAAUAUACUAGGGUAAAAUUCCAUAUACAAUAGAGACCGCACAGAGGAAAAAAAAGGGACAGUUCCGCAGCCUCAAAUAAGCAGACAAAGGUACCAAUUAGGUAAAACGUAAACAUCUGUACUUUCUAUAAAUUUAAAACCUGUUUGGUAAUGUGAAUAUCCCACCCAACAUGCAUCUUUUAAUUUUCUAGCUAUUCUCUAUUUUAAUUAUGUAAUAUAAUAAUAAUUUAAUAAGAAAAUAAUGUUUACUUAUAUAAUAAGUAAAUAAGUAAUUAUUACUAAUUUAUGUAUUUUAUUUUUCCACAUGUAUUUCACUAUUACCACACACUUGACACUUAUGGUUUAAUUGCUAAUUUAGUCUCUUAAAUUUCCUCUAGUCUAUAAUUAAACUUUUUACACUAUGUUCAAUUUAGUCCUUAUACCUACUUAACCUUAAUUCAAGCUAAUUCACCUAGCCAAAAUCUAAUUAACCACACAACUAACCUUUCUAAAUAUUUUUAAUAAAUAUUUACGAAUUUGUUUUUUGAAAACAAAGACUCAAAAAUACACUUUCCAAUAACUGUAAAUUUCGGAUUGUUACAUCUAUAAUUUAUGGUGAAUUUUCAAAGUCAGACUACUACUGUUGUCUAAAACUAUUUUAGUGCAAAAUGUUGAUAACCAAGAUUAUAACACCCUCAUUUCCUUUCUCUACAAUAUUUCUCAUCACGUCCUCUUAUUUCCCUUCACUAAAAUAUCAAGAACAUAAAACCUUAUAUAAGAAAACUCUACUUUAACAUCAUUUUCAUGCUUUUUCAAUAAUAUCAAACUUAAAAAUAUAUUGAAAUCUUGAUAUUCUUACCUUAUCAUAUUGAUUUCAAUCUUUAACUUUAUUUUCUCUCUCCUCCAACUUCUAUUUUCUUGAAUCCAAGGUGAUUUUCUUGUUCUUCAUAGUCUUCUUAUCACUUUUCUCUCUUGGUGAUUAUGAAAAUUUUUUGAAAUUCUUGGUGAAAAUGGUGGAUUUUUUAUAGAAGGACCAAAUUGUAAAGACAACAAAGUUCUCUUCUUCUCUCCCCCUCACUCACGUUGGAAAGAUAGGAGGAUCCUCUCUCUUUUUUUUUUCAUCUUCCUCUCCUUUUAUACUAGCUAUUUAUAAUAAAAUAUUAGUAAAAUAUCUCAUUAAAAUAUUAAUAAAGUAAUAUUUAUCUAAUUAAAUAAUUAUAAAAUAUCAUCAAAAUAUCUCCAACAUCACAACUGCCUUCUAAAGUUUUUUCUCUCUUUUUAAUUGACCAUUUUGCCCUUUAUGAUCUUUUAAAAUUCUAUCCUUGAAUCAUUACUUAAUUUGAUAAAAUUACGAUUUAGUCCCUCAUAAGUCUUCACCUAUUCAAUUUGGUCCCUUCGUGCCAAUUCCAUAUCAUAGAAAAUUGGAUUAUUUUCACUUUUGGUCUUCAAAUUUCUUAUUUUUACACUUUGAUCCCCUAAAUUUUAAAUAUUUAUACUUGAGCCAAAAACUUUUCACAUAUUUAUGAUUUAGUCCAUACUUUAAAUCAAUAUACUAAAACCUACUUCUUAAUUAUUAUUAUUUUUAAUACUCCUCAAUAUUCUCUUUUAUCAUCUUUAUAUCAUUUUCUCAUUUUGUUGAGAAAUCAAUUAUACAUCAUGUCAUGCUUCUUGAUUUAACUUUCUUUUUAUAUAUCGCAACUUUCAUUUUCUUUGAUCUUAUACAUUUUUUCACUAAAAUUUUAUCUCAUAUUAUUUACGACCAAUAGGAGUUUUGAGGAUGUUAUAUUAUGAAAGUAAAUAAAUUAAUUAUACUCAAUAUUUCUUCAUCAUCAAAUUAAUCGAAUAUAAUUAUAAAUAUUUAUUCAAAAUAAAAGUAUAAUAAAUUAAUUUUGAAAUUAAAUAAUUUAAUUAUACAAAUUUUGUGAGGUUAGUGUCGCAAAAUGGACUCUAGGAUUGAUAAAAAAAUCAAGUUUAAAAAUUAAUAAAUAAUACUUUGACACUUCUUUAAUUUAUUAUAAAAUAACUUAUGUAAAGCAACUAUUUAGUUCAUAAUUAAAAAUAAAAUAAUAAUAUAAGUUUACAAAAAAUAAAAGGCGUUAGUCCGAUUAGGGAAGAGUGACGGAGCCAUAUUGGAUCCAAAUGGCACCGGUCCGUUAUCCUUCCACUGCGAAGAGUGGGAAGUUAUCGCUGCUCUGUGAAUCCAGCCUCACGCUUUGCCUUCCACUCAAGGAGCUACGAGGCCUGAACCUACGCACAAGUCCCAUAACUCAACUCCACGCUUGGAACGGGCGGGCCAGAGAAUGGCCGCAUAAACCCGUCUCCGUGACUCAACCCAAAGUCCCACCACCUUAUUGUCCCCACUUGGGUUACAAGCAGGCGUUACCCCACUCGACG